GCCCAGGCUGCACCCGGAGACCCGAUUCGCAGCCUCCUGGGUCUGAGCAGUUACCAGCCAGUCGCCUGAGAACUUUCCGCUCCAGCACCAGGAAAAAUGAGAUUUUUGCUCCUUUUAAGUUUCGUGGCAGCAGCUUUAGAAGGUGUCCGGUCCCAGGUCAAGCUGGUGGAGUCCGGAGGGGGGGUGAAAAGCCCUGGAGAGUCUCUCUUCCUCACCUGCAAAAUCUCCGGGUUCACCUUCAGGGAUUCCUACAUGAGCUGGCUCCGACAGGCUCCAGGAAAGGAACUAGAAUGGGUCAGUUCUAUAAACCCCGAUGGGAGCGAGACACGGUACCAUAAUUCAGUGAAAGGCCGAUUCACCAUCUCCAGGGAUAAUUACAAGAAUGAGCUGUAUCUGCAAAUGUCCUACCUGAAACUCGAGGACUCUGCCGUCUAUUACUGUGAGAAAGGCACAGUGACACCCCCUUCUCCCAGCAGCCACGUGGGGGCAGCAGUGACAGUCACCCCGCUUCGGGCUUAGACAGGAGACCUGGCAACUGGGUGAAUGUAACACAAACCUACCGUUUGUGUUACAUUCACCCUACGGUUACGCACAUCUUCUUGUCAACUGUUUGAAAUGGGCCAUCCUGAUGAUCACUACAAAAGUUUUUUUUUUCUCCUACUGAUAAUAGCUCACCUUAAUUGAUUUCUCUCAUUAGAGUUGGUAAGGCAACCUCCAUCUUUUCUUGUUCUCUGCAUAUCUCUCUCGCUACUGUAUUUUCCACUGCGUGCAUCUGAUCAAGUGGGUUUUAGCCCACGAAAGCUUAUGCCCAAUUAAAUUUGUUAGUCUCUAAGGUGCCACAAGGGGUCCUCGUUCUUUCUGCCGUCAGUGUCUCCCUUUCCUUCCCAGAGCCCCCCUGAGCCUGUGGUGCGCAGGUCCCUCCCUUUAUGGGGGAACCCCAAUCCGGAGUGGGUCUGGUUUUGCGUCACUCUCCCCUCCGAGACCUGGCACGUUGGCUCUCCCAGGGCCCGUCGCGGUGUCAGACUCACAGGACAGCCCCUGCCAGUGUACAGGAGACAAGCGCAUUGCGGGACUGAUCCA